rfam:Otolemur garnettii contig159373, whole genome shotgun sequence.
CGCGGGUCCAAGCCUGUAGCCCCAAAUCGGAUAAUCUCUGCAGCUGAUAACAAGCAAAACAGAAGCCAGGCAACAGCCAUAUUAAAGAAGAAAAUCAACUCUGAGG